AGUUGCAGAGGAUGGGGGAGUCGUGGGUGGUGCUGGCUCUCGCACGGCGGAGGGUCUGGGUUCUCCCGCUGGGGGUUGAAUAAGUGAAGCUCACCGGAGCGACGAGCCGAGAGGAGUCCGCUCGUCCUCCUCCCCGUGUUUUGUCGCGAGAGGCAUGGGUUUGCGUGGGGGUCGAGGAGCUGGGUCCGUCCAUGCCAAAGGUUCCAGCAAGCGACCACUGAUUCGAGGAUGCGGUACGAGGUUGCAUCGCCGGCGGGAUGGGCAUGGACAUACAAGAGAAGAGGUUAUAUAUCUACUUGGUUGAUCAAUAGAAAGCUAGAGAGAGAGAUAGUGGAAGGGGCGUAGGGUGACAUUUCCUGCAGAUGCUUUAUGAGAUACAAAGGUGUGGUGGUUGCUGCCGUCUUUGCAUGUGGAGGAAGAGAGACGUGUGGGAUAAUUGAUAGAAUAUGCAAGAUAUACAUGGUCCAUGUUUUCUGUUCUUUUUUGUAAAGCCCAAAUAUACCUGUAUGCAGCCACCCUGUUUUCAUUACAAGGGCGUGAAAGAAGACUGAACUGAUUGGGAGCUGGGGUUAUUCAAGGUUAACAAAACCAGAGAAAAAAACCGGACUCAAUGAUAAUGAACAAAUUGUUUUUUA